AUUGAACGCUGGCGGCAGGCCUAACACAUGCAAGUCGAGCGAGCGGCGGACGGGUGAGUAAUGUCUGGGACACUGCCUGAUGGAGGGGGAUAACUACUGGAAACGGUAGCUAAUACCGCAUACCAUCAGAUGUGCCCAGAUGGGAUUAGCUCGUCGGUGGGGUAACGGCUCACCUAGGCGACGAUCCCUAGCUGGGCUGAGAGGAUGACCAGCAUAACGGGAACGGAUACACGGUCCAGACGCCUACGGGAGGGAGCAGGGGGGAAUAUUGCACAAUGGGCGCAAGCCUGAUGCAGCCAUGCCGCGUGUGUGAAGAAGGCCUUAGGGUUGUAAAGCACUGUCAGAGGGGAGGCGUUACCCGCAGAAGAAGCACCGGCUAACUCCGUGCCAGCAGCCGCGGUAAUAC
rnacentral:rRNA from 1 species